GCCGCGGUAUCUCCGACCGUGCAAAGGUAGCAUAAUAACUUGUUCUUUAAUUGGGGACUAGAAUGAAGGAGAGUUUGAGAUUUUUUUUGUCUUAGAGUGUUUAUUAGAAUUUGCUGUUUUUGUGAAGAAGCAAAGGUAAAAAAAAAAGACAAGAAGACCCCGUUAAGCUUUAUCUUUUUUGGAUUUUUUUUUAGGGUAUUCGAAUUUAAGUAUUUAUCUUUAAAGAUUUGGUUGGGGCGACUAAAAAGGAUUAGAUCCUCUUUUGGGUUUAAAACUUAAAGUUUAAUAAUGAUCCAAAAUUUUUUGAUUGUUUGAAUCAGUUACUAUGGGGAUAACAGCGUAAUUUUUUCGGAGAGUUCUUAUUGAUGAAAAAGUUUGCGACCUCGAUGUUGACUUACUAUUUCCUAUAAAGG
rnacentral:rRNA from 1 species